UACGUAGGGUGCAAGCGUUAAUCGGAAUUACUGGGCGUAAAGCGUGCGCAGGCGGCUUUGCAAGACAGAUGUGGAAUCCCCGGGCUCAACCUGGGAACUGCAUUUGUGACUGCAAGGCUGGAGUACGGCAGAGGGGGAUGGAAUUCCGCGUGUAGCAGUGAAAUGCGUAGAUAUGCGGAGGAGCACCGAUGGCGAAGGCAAUCCCCUGGGCCUGUACUGACGCUCAUGCACGAAAGCGUGGGGAGCAAACAGG
rnacentral:rRNA from 1 species